rnacentral:rRNA from 1 species
UGCGGGGAGCGGCGAACGGGUGAGUAACACGUUGGAAUCUGCCCCGAACUCAGGGAUAACAUCUAGAAAUAGGUGCUAAUACCGGAUAGUCCCGCAAGGGUAAAGCUUUUGCGGUUCGGGAGGAGCCUGCGUCCUAUCAGCUUGUUGGUGAGGUAAUGGCUCACCAAGGCAAUGACGGGUAGCUGGUCUGAGAGGAUGAUCAGCCACAAUGGGACUGAGACACGGCCCAUACUCCUACGGGAGGCAGCAGUAAAGAAUCUUCCACAAUGGGGGAAACCCUGAUGGAGCAAUCUCGCGUGAAUGAUGACAGCCGAAAGGUCGUAAAGUUCUUUUCUGAGGGAAUAAUUUUGAAGGUACCUUAGGAAUAAGCACCGGCUAACUCCGUGCCAGCAGCCGCGGUAAUACGGAGGGUGCAAGCGUUAUCCGGAAUCAUUGGGCGUAAAGCGUCCGCAGGCGGUUUGUUAAGUUGGUUAUUAAAUCUCGGGGCCCAACCCUGGGGCUGUAACCAAAACUAGCUAACUAGAGUCUUUCAGAGGCACGUGGAAUUCUGUGUGUAGGGGUAAAAUCCGUAGAUACACAGAGGAACACCAAAAGCGAAGGCAGCGUGCUGGGAAAGUACUGACGCUCAUGGACGAAAGCGUAGGUAGCGAACGGGAUUAGAUACCCCGGUAGUCUACGCCGUAAACGAUGGAUACUAGGUGUUGGAGGGUCAACCCCCUUCAGUGCCGAAGCUAACGCAUUAAGUAUCCCGCCUGGGGAGUACGGUCGCAAGAUUAAAACUCAAAGGAAUAGACGGGGACCCACACAAGCGGUGGAGCAUCUGGUUUAAUUCGAUAAUGAGCGAGGAACCUUACCUGGGUUUGACAUCCCGAGAAUCUUCUGGAAACAGAGGAGUGCCUUCUGGAACUCGGUGACAGGUGCUGCAUGGUCGUCGUCAGCUCGUGCCUUGAGGUGUUCGGUUAAGUCCGUAAACGAGCGCAACCCAUGUCCUGUGUUGCAAUUUCACAGGAGACUGCCGAUUCAAAGUCGGAGGAAGGUAUGGAUGACGUCAGAUCAGCAUGGCCCUUAUGUCCAGGGCUACACAGGUGCUACAAUGGCAGGUACAAUGGGCAGCAAUAUCGCAAGAUGGAGCCAAUCCCAAAAGCUUGUCUAAGUUCGGAUUGAGGGCUGCAACUCGCCCUCAUGAAGUUGGAAUCGCUAGUAAACGCGGAUCAGCAAUGGCGCGUUGAAUUUGUUCCUGGGUCUUGUACUCACCGCCCGUCACACUACGGAAGGUGGGGGCGCCCGAAGUACCCUUAUCCCCUCGGGGAGGGGUCCUAAGGUGAAACCACUGACUGGAGUGAAGUCGUAACAAGGUA